AUGGCCAUAUUACACUGAAAUACUGGACCCCAUAUGAUCACUGAAGUUAAGCAACAUCAUGCUUGGUUAGUACCUAGAUGGAUGACCACUUGGGAAUGUCAGGUGCU